rnacentral:rRNA from 1 species
UACAGAGGGGGCAAGCGUUAUUCGGAAUUAUUGGGCGUAAAGGGCGCGUAGGCGGCGAUUCAAGUGACGGAUGAAAUCCCUCGGCUUAACCGAGGAACUGCCUGUCAGACUGGAUUGCUUGAGGCCGGGAGAGGUGAGUGGAAUUCCCAGUGUAGCGGUGAAAUGCGUAGAUAUUGGGAGGAACACCAGUGGCGAAGGCGGCUCACUGGACCGGUACUGACGCUGACGGCGCGAAAGCGUGGGGAGCAAACGGGGAUUAAGA